rnacentral:rRNA from 1 species
AAAUUAAGCGAAUACCUCUCCUAUAUGGGAAGGUAGUUUAAUCGAACUGAUUUACUAGAGUCUUAUAGAAGAACAGAGGAAUUGCAAGAGUAAGGAUGAAAUCUAUUGAUACUUGUAGGACCGCCAAAGGCGAAGGCAUCGUUCUAGGUAAAGACUGACGUUGAGGGACGUAGGCGUUGGGAGCGAAAAGGAUUAGAUACCCCUGUAGUCAACGCUGUAAACGAUGAGUGCUUAAGAUUAGUAAUAAUAAUUAAUAAGUAAUUAGGCUUUAAUGUCUAUAACUAUUAUAAAAAUUAGUCUCGAAAUGAAGAUGUUAAGCACUUCACCUGGGGAGUACUGUCGCAAGGCUGAAACCCAAAACAUUAGACGGUCACGGAAACCAGCAGUGAAGCAUGUUAUUUAAUACGAUGAUCCGCGUACAACCUUACCACUUCUUGAAUGUCCUUUUCUGUAAAAAGAAAAGGCCUAUUUAAUUAAAAAAAUAAACAUUAAUUAAAUUUGGAUAAAUACAACAGGCGUUGCAUGGCUGUCUUCAGUUCGUGUCGUGAGAUGUCAGGUUCAUUCCGGUCAACGAAUGAAACCCUUCUUUCUUAAUUUUGCUUUUGCUUUUUUUUUUUUUAUUAAUUAAAAUAAAAUUUGCUGCAUUAAGAUGACCCUUGGAAAACGAGGAUAUAAUGGGGAUUAAGACAAGUCGUCAUGGCCUUUAUGAAGUGGGCUAUAGACGUGCCACAAAAGCUUUUACAAUGGGAUGCUAAGACGUGAGUCAGCGCUAAACCUUAAAAAAAGCUAUGUUCGGAUUGUAGUCUGCAACUCGACUACAUGAAGCAGGAAUUGCUAGUAAUCGUAAAUCAGGACGUUACGGUGAAGUAUUAAAUCUGUGAUGUACUAACUACUCGUCAAGCGCGGAAAGGUGCGUGGCCCCGAAGAGGUUAUCUCUUUUUCUUAUUAAUUGUGCCAGCAGU